GACGAACGCUGGUGGCGUGCUUAACACAUGCAAGUCGAACGGAAAGGCCCUGCUUUUGUGGGGUGCUGGAGUGGCGAACGGGUGAGUAACACGUGAGUAACCUGCCCUUGACUUUGGGAUAACUUAAGGAAACUGGGGCUAAUACCGGAUAGGAGCUCCUGCUGCAUGGUGGGGGUUGGAAUGUUUCGGCGGUUGGGGCUGGGGUCGGGGGUGAUCAGGUUGUUGGUGGGGUAGUGGCUUACCAAGGCUUUGACGGGUAGCCGGUCUGAGCGGGUGACCGGCCAGAUUGGGACUGAGAUACGGCCCAGACUCCUACGGGAGGCAGCAGUGGGGAAUAUUGCACAAUGGGCGGAAGCCUGAUGCAGCAACGCCGCGUGCGGGAUGACGGCCUUCGGGUUGUAAACCGCUUUCGCCUGUUACGAAGCGUGAGUGACGGUAAUGGGUAAAGAAGCACCGGCUAACUACGUG
rnacentral:rRNA from 1 species